rnacentral:lncRNA from 1 species
CUUCUUAAUAUCACAUUUUAUUAUUAGAACCAUCACCAUAGAAAUGAGUACAAAUAAAAUAGUGCUAUACAAAUCACGCAGUACGGGUUAUUUCUACUACAUUGAACCUUCUUCAUGGGAUCUCCAAUCACAAAGGUUGGGUUACUCUCGAAGGAUAAUCUCUUAUGGGUUUAAGCACACCCCUUUCAAUGAUUUAUGUAUGCUCGGACUACAAUUUAUUUAUGCCCCUCUUGGAUAAUAAUAUGGUACCAUCAAUUUGUGAAUCUUAUCUUCUCCUGCAUAUCUGCAUAUCUG